CCACAUCUACAGCCUUUCCCUCAUCCACCAAGCACGUCACUUUGUCAUAGGAGGUCAGGUUCGUCAAGCAGGACCUGCCUUCCAUAAACCCAUGCUGACUGGGCCUGAUAACCUGCUUGCCCUGGAAGUGCCGCUUGAUGACACUCAAUCUGCUCCAUGAGCUUCCCUGGCACUGAGGUCAAACUGACAGGCCUGUUGUGCCCUGGGUCUACCCUCCGGCCCUUCUUGUAGCUGGGUGUCACGUUUGCUAGCUGCCAGUCGACUGGGACCUCCCCCGAUAGCCAGGGCUGCUGAUAAACGAUUGUAAGUGGCUUGGCCAGCUCCUCCGCCAGUUUUCUCAGUACCCUUGGGUGGAUCCCAUCCGGCCCCAUUGACUUGCCUAUAUCCAAGUGCUGUAGCAGGUUGCCAAACAUUUCCUGGUGGAUUAUGAAGGCCACAUUCUGCUCAUUAUAAUAUCAUUAUAAUACCAAAACACACCUCCAUCGCAAAAGCUACUUGCUUCCAUGUGACCACCCCUCACUGAGCAUGCGCUCUGUAUUUCUCAGAGCCUAUUACUUUAAAUGGAGAUGGAAGAACUUUUCACCAAUCGUAAUUAAGAUAUGCUUGACUAGAGUCACUCAACCUCCACCUAAAAAAUAGAAAAUAAUGUAAAUUGGCCUAAGAGAGAGGGUAUGUGAGGGGAAGAUACAACUGUCAGGGGAGAUACCAUCCCAAGAGAAUACACCAUCUGGAGGACUUCCUGACUCCUGGGAUCAGUCGACGGGCUGAGUCUCUCUUCCCCCCUCCAUUGGGAUGCCUUUGGGUGAGAUUUGAACAUGUGGUUAUACUGUGUGUCUCUUGUGGAAACUUAAAAAUCUCUGUGGAGUCUUUUUGCCUUUUAAUGCAUUAAUUUCCAGGCUGCGCACCUGUGUCACCUGUGUAUUUCAUGCAUGCUAGCUUGCUUUUGCAGGCAGUCACUAUUGCUGGCAAUUCAAAGAACCCGUGUACCUGUUGCUGUAAUAAAUUGCACUUGAAUGCGUUGUUCCUAGCCGUGAUAGUUCUCAUUAAAUGCGACUAGAGUAAGGGUGGUUGUAUGUUAUUGGUGAAUCCAUGACUGUGGUAGUUCAGUGCUCUGAAUCCGACUGGAUCCCUAACAGUUCAUGUGUUUUUGGUGAAUCUGUGAUUGUGAUAGUUAGUACCUUGAAUCCCACUGGACCCAUAACCAUUAAUUGGCUACACCCCUUAAUGCGACAGUAUGAGACACAUUUUGGGGAAGACAGAAUGAGAGACAGCUCUUAAAAUAUUCAGUACUUAAUAGUACAACAGGUGAGUGAAAAAAUUGGAAGAGGAGUGGAAGGCUAGCUUCCACACAGACUUUUUUUUUUUUUUCUUUUAGCUUCAGGAAAGAAAAAGUGCAUUGUUAGGCAUUAUUUUUCUUGUAUACUGUAACUGGUUAAUUUCCCCCAUGUGUCUGAUGUGUGAUUUCAGUUUGCAUUAACACUUACAUAUCUUCGUGUUAUGGUUGAAUGUUGGGACUUUUUUUUUUUCCUGUUGCAAGUAGGUAUUAUAAACAUUGAUAACUUUCACAUAUGAUAUAAUAAAUAUUAUUUAUUUAUUUUACUGACAUAUAUGUUCUCAUCACUGUUCAAGUUCUAAACCCUGUUGUUAAAAUGUAAUAUUUUUUUACAUUAAUCACUUAAAGUCUUAGUGAAAACAUCACUUUUUUGUCUUCUCUGCUUAUAAAACAUAAUUUCACUUCAAAAGAAUGUCAAUACGGUGAUAAACAUCUGUAUAGCUCUCUGAAAUAAUUUCCAGGUGAGAAGAUAGUACUGGAUUCCUUAAACUAAUAGAAAAAAAAAAUGCUCCUAUUCAGGGCUUUUUCAAAGAGAGCACUAGAUGUUAAAUUACCUGUUCAGGAAAUAAAAGUUGCAGUUUUUGUGAGCGUGUUCUGUACUUGCUGUGAGUAAAGCUUUAAUCUGCUGCUACAUCUGCCCUGCCCUCUGGUGGUCAAACAAGCCAGCUGAGAGCCUUCAGAGUAAGAUUCAGAAAUCUAGAGGAACAGAACUGCACAGGUGCAGGUUCAGUCACCCAGAGCUAACUGCAUGGCCUGCAGUAUGCUGCCCAACAGUUUCUAGGAGCAAUUUGGUGGACUGUUGCUGUGUGGAAACGUCUGAUAAAUGUGCCGUGUACAUUUGUGGUGGCGCACCACGGUGCACAGGUGAAUUUGGAGCUCAGUCAUGGUAAAUGGAGCCAACUGUAGGUUUUGUGGCGAGCUCUGCGUGAACGCAACUGUUUGUGCUGUCUUCUGGCUGCGUGGCCUUGUGAGCGCGGUAGC